UCUUCAUUUCACACACUCUCUUUCCGGUCAGAGAGGCAAGAGAGUGUGCAAAAUGAAGAGA
rfam:Pristionchus pacificus strain PS312 contig11611, whole genome shotgun sequence.